CCCACUAUGAGUCUUUACUUGUUGUGGAAGUACCAGAUGACGCCUUGGAUAAAGUCACAGGGUCACAGUGAUUCAGCUCACUAGACCUUCGAAGCGGCUACUGGCAGGUGGAGCUGGCACCAGAUGCAAGACCCAAGACGGCUUUCACCAUCGGCCAAGGGCUCUGGCAGUUCAGGGUGAUGCCCUUUGGUCUCUGCAAUGCUUCCCCCGCGUUCGAGAGACUUAUGGAGGGGUUCUGGCUCACAUUCACAGAAAACAGUGCGUGGUCUACCUUGAUGACCUUCUGGUCCAUGCCAAGGACUUCGAGCUGGCCCUAGAAAACUAUCAUUUGUCAUCACAUAAUCUGCACACAAUGACCUUUAUUGACAAGUCUAAAUAAACUAUUGUGAAUUAUUAA
ensembl:lncRNA